rfam:Canis lupus familiaris chromosome 34, whole genome shotgun sequence.
AUCGCUUCUCGGCCUUUUGGCUAAGAUCAAGUGUAGUAUCUGUUCUUAUCAGUUUAACAUCUGAUACGUCCUCUAUCCAAUAUAAAAGUAAAGUCUAAGUCAUUACAACAUUCUUCCAGGAAAGUUCUAAUAGUCCAUUAGAAUAAAAUUGGGAUAUAGAAUCACGAUCUCUAAUCUAAUAACUAGUC